GCCUCUUGGUUUGGGACAACUGUUGGAAACGACAGCUAAUACCGGAUAUUAUGAGAUUCUCGCAUGGGAAACUUAUGAAAGCUAUAUGCGCCAAGAGAGAGCCUUGCGUUCCAUUAGCUAGUUGGUGGGGUAACGGCCCACCAAGGCGACGAUGGAUAGCCGGCCUGAGAGGGUGAACGGCCACAAGGGGACUGAGACACGGCCCUUACUCCUACGGGAGGCAGCAGUGGGGAAUAUUGGACAAUGGGCCACAGGCCUGAUCCAGCAAUUCUGUGUGCACGAUGAAGGUCUUCGGAUUGUAAAGUGCUUUCAGUUGGGAAGAAGAAAGUGACGGUACCAACAGAAGAAGCGACGGCUAAAUACGUGCCAGCAGCCGCGGUAAUACGUAUGUCGCAAGCGUUAUCCGGAUUUAUUGGGCGUAAAGCGCGUCUAGGCGGAAAAAUAAGUCUGAUGUUAAAAUGCGGGGCUCAACUCCGUAUUGCGUUGGAAACUGUUUUUCUAGAGUACUGGAGAGGUGGGCGGAACUACAAGUGUAGAGGUGAAAUUCGUAGAUAUUUGUAGGAAUGCCGAUGGAGAAGUCAGCUCACUGGACAGAUACUGACGCUAAAGCGCGAAAGCGUGGGGAGCAAACAGGAUUAGAUACCCUGGUAGUCCACGCCGUAAACGAUGAUCACU
rnacentral:rRNA from 1 species